GAUGAAGAACGUAGCGAAAUGCGAUGAGUAAUGUGAAUUGCAGAAUUCAGUGAAUCAUCGAAUCUUUGAACGCACCUUGCGCUCUUUGGUAUUCCGAAGAGCAUGCCUGUUUGAGUGUCAUGAAAAUAUCAACCUUGACUUGGGUUUUGUGCUCUAGUCUCGGCUUGGAAUUGGGUGCUUGCCGCUUUUACGAGCGGCUCACCUUAAAUGUAUUAGCUGGAUCUGUCUUUGAGACUUGGUUUGACUUGGCGUAAUAAGUAUUUCGCUAAGGACAUUCUUCGGAGUGGCCUCGUUUCUAGGACGCUUGUCCGCUUUCCAAUACAAGUUCCACCUCGUGGACAUGACUUUUUAUUAUCUGGCCUCAAAUCAGGUAGGACUACCCGCUGAACUUAAGCAUAUCAAUAAGCGGAGGA
rnacentral:misc_RNA from 1 species